rnacentral:rRNA from 1 species
UACGGGGGGGGCAAGCGUUGUUCGGAAUUACUGGGCGUAAAGGGCUCGUAGGCGGCCAACUAAGUCGGAUGUGAAAUCCCCAGGCUCAACCUGGGAACUGCAUCCGAUACUGGAUGGCUUGAAUUCGGGAGAGGGAUGCAGAAUUCCAGGUGUAGCGGUGAAAUGCGUAGAUAUCGGGAGGAACAUCUGUGGCGAAGGCGACACCCUGGACCAGCACUGACACUGAGGCACGAAAGCGCGGGGAGCAAACAGG